rnacentral:rRNA from 1 species
UACGUAGGGUGCGAGCGUUGUCCGGAAUUAUUGGGCGUAAAGAGCUCGUAGGCGGCUUGUCGCGUCGAAUGUGAAAUCUCAGGGCUCAACUCUGACAUUGCAUUCGAUACGGGCAGGCUAGAGUUCGGUAGGGGAGACUGGAAUUCCUGGUGUAGCGGUGAAAUGCGCAGAUAUCAGGAGGAACACCGGUGGCGAAGGCGGGUCUCUGGGCCGAUACUGACGCUGAGGAGCGAAAGCGUGGGGAGCGAACAGG